rnacentral:rRNA from 1 species
GACGAACGCUGGCGGCGUGCUUAACACAUGCAAGUCGAACGGAAAGGCCCUGCUUUUGUGGGGUGCUCGAGUGGCGAACGGGUGAGUAACACGUGAGUAACCUGCCCCUGACUUUGGGAUAACUUCAGGAAACUGGGGCUAAUAUCGGAUAGGAGCUCCUGCUGCAUGGUGGGGGUUGGAAAGUUUCGGCGGUUGGGGAUGGACUCGCGGCUUAUCAGCUUGUUGGUGGGGUAGUGGCUUACCAAGGCUUUGACGGGUAGCCGGCCUGAGAGGGUGACCGGCCACAUUGGGACUGAGAUACGGCGCAGACUCCUACGGGAGGCAGCGGUGGGGAAUAUUGCACAAUGGGCGGAAGCCUGAUGCAGCAACGCCGCGUGCGGGAUGACGGCCUUCGGGUUGUAAACCGCUUUCGCCUGUGACGAAGCGUGAGUGACGGUAAUGGGUAAAGAAGCACCGGCUAACUACGUG